GUUUCUAAUCCUUUUUGCAAUUUGAAAAGUGGUUUAUUUGGUCCCUGCAAAUGGAGAACAUCAACCAAAUGGACGAUUUCCAAGAGUAUAUAAUGAGAUGGAAACUGGUCAGAUUGGAGUGUCAGUGACCGUGGAAGCACACACAGAGACGCUGACAUCCUCAGACGGUGGAGCCUCCAUCAGCAACAGUCCCCAGGUGCCGGUGCUGAGCCAAACAGCAGCAGCCCUCCCUGCUGGCCACAGUGGACAUGCAAUAAGGGUGAAAAAUCAUCUUUGUGGUUUUAGGGUGAGGUGGCGUUGCCAAAUCUCAUCCUAGCUUGUCCUGACAGUCUGUCUUGUAAGCUCCAAAAUUUCAUCUGCUGCCAUAACAAUUUUGAGCCUCACAGGACCCCAAAGGCCUAAUUGUGAGUUCCUGGGCUCCCACCAGGUAUGCCCCCACCCAACAGGAAAGUCCCCCCACCCAGCUAGUUCCUCUAUCAGCCAGGCCAGCUGCGCUCCACCUGGUCCCCACCUAAUGGGCUUCAGCUCUCUGCCAACGUGGAGUUAUUCAAACCAAUUACAUCCUUCUGCAGGCACCUCACCCUCUUGUUACGACAAAGCCUUUCUCCCAUGGCCCCUGCUGGUCCUCUCUGCUUUUGAGUGCAGGUUUCAUGUGGCCAUACAUGAAAUGCAGCAUCCUCCUCCC